CCCAGUGGGAGGGGAGAGAUGUGGGCAGGGCCUCAGGGGACAGUUCCGCUCCAUCUUCAAAGAAAGGGCAGCACGCUCCAGGCUGUGCAGAGCCCACGGAGGCUGAUGAAUAAGACCAGAGCUGGAGCCAGGCGAUGGUGGCUCUCGUUAAUGAACAAAAUUGGAUUCUGACUCAGAACAGAAAAUGUAUGUCUCAGCCAUCUACAAACCUCAACUCUAUGUUCAAAUAAUCUUCGACAAAGCAGGA